rnacentral:rRNA from 1 species
GUGGUAAUGCCGGAUGCUCCGGUUGGAUGCAUGUCCUUCCGGGAAAGGUUCCAUCGGUAUGGGAUGGGGUCGCGUCCUAUCAGCUUGAUGGCGGGGUAACGGCCCACCAUGGCUUCGACGGGUAGCCGGCCUGAGAGGGCGACCGGCCACAUUGGGACUGAGAUACGGCCCAGACUCCUACGGGAGGCAGCAGUGGGGAAUAUUGCACAAUGGGCGCAAGCCUGAUGCAGCGACGCCGCGUGCGGGAUGGAGGCCUUCGGGUUGUAAACCGCUUUUGAUCGGGAGCAAGCCCUUCGGGGUGAGUGUACCUUUCGAAUAAGCACCGGCUAACUACGUGCCAGCAGCCGCGGUAAUACGUAGGGUGCAAGCGUUAUCCGGAAUUAUUGGGCGUAAAGGGCUCGUAGGCGGUUCGUCGCGUCCGGUGUGAAAGCCCAUCGCUUAACGGUGGGUCUGCGCCGGGUACGGGCGGGCUGGAGUGCGGUAGGGGAGACUGGAAUUCCCGGUGUAACGGUGGAAUGUGUAGAUAUCGGAAAAGAAC